rnacentral:rRNA from 1 species
AUUGAACGCUGGCGGCAUGCCUUACACAUGCAAGUCGAACGGUAACAGGCCGCAAGGUGCUGACGAGUGGCGAACGGGUGAGUAAUGCAUCGGAACGUGCCCAGUCGUGGGGGAUAACGCAGCGAAAGCCGUGCUAAUACCGCAUACGAUCUAGGGAUGAAAGCGGGGGACCGUAAGGCCUCGCGCGAUUGGAGCGGCCGAUGUCAGAUUAGCUAGUUGGUGGGGUAAAGGCCCACCAAGGCGACGAUCUGUAGCUGGUCUGAGAGGACGACCAGCCACACUGGGACUGAGACACGGCCCAGACUCCUACGGGAGGCAGCAGUGGGGAAUUUUGGACAAUGGGCGCAAGCCUGAUCCAGCAAUGCCGCGUGCAGGAAGAAGGCCUUCGGGUUGUAAACUGCUUUUGUACGGAACGAAACGGCCUGGGUUAAUACCCUGGGCUAAUGACGGUACCGUAAGAAUAAGCACCGGCUAACUACGUGCCAGCCGCCGCAGUAA